GCCCUGCUUCAGGGAACAUGAGCCCUGGGUGAGCCCCGAGUCUCUCUCUCUGCCCCCUUGCUCACUUGCGCCCUCUUCAAAAAAAAGAGUUACAGGUUCAGAGCAUCCCUUUCCUAUAUGAUAAGUCAGACCAAGACCUAACAAUUCCCAAUUUGACAGAUUGAGGGCAAGUCCUGGUUCAUUCUAGUUCCCUCUGAGCACCACCCACUUGGAGAGCCGGGAUCAGUUUAAAAUACUUCCUUUCAUCCACUGAACUAGAUAUAAGAGCCAGUAUCAGAGCGCCCACUGCUCAGGUUCUUGCUGGCCCCUUGGCUUUCUCCCUAGAGCUUCAUCUGUCCUAUUCAAAAGGAUGGUUCUUUUCCCAGCGACAAGGGAGUUGAUGGAAGUUGGCCUGAACUUCUAAACUGGGUUUUCUUGCUCCAGGUUCUUGUGGCCAGGAGAGCUUGUCCAGUGUGAAGGAAGAGUUCUGUGCUGACCCCUCGGUUAGGGGCUGCCUGUCAUCACAGGACAUCCUUGGCUUUUUGGUGUUGACCAUUUUUAUUUUAAUCAGGAUGAAUCCCCAUUUACUGAACAAGUGUCUUUCUGGAGUAUGACUUGGAGAGGAACAGCUCUGACGUCCCUAAGGCAGCUUCAUGGACCUGAGGCACACCUAUCUUCCAGGCUCCCAGGCUACGCUAUACUGCUUUUCACUGCAAAUGCCUUGAUCUUUCUUCCUGGUAGAAAACAGGACAAGUCUCAGUCUUGCAAGCACACAGAUCAGUUUCACCUCCUGUUUCCUCCAGACAGACCUGAGCUCAUUAAUCGACCCAUGAGGCCCUACAAAGGGGAAGGGAUGGGGGUGAGGGGAAACCCUCACUUGAGACUGAAGGUCUUGCCCUAUGGUGCGUAGUUGCUUGCCUCGUCAUGCAUGUGGGCCACGUCCCUGUGGUGGGGCAGCUUGGAUUGGCACGAGUUUCUACCCACUGGGUUACGCAUCAUCUGGGAAGCUUCUAAAAAAUACCAGUGCGUACAGCCCUAGCAUAGGUAUUUUUCAAAAGCUUUCCCGGGUGAAUGGAAGGUCAGGGUUGAGACGCUACAAGUGUGGGCAGAGGAAACCAGAAAACCACGGUCAGGAAGAGGAAGUCCAUGGUACCAGGGGCAAAGAUGAGAAGUGGACUGGCUCCCUGCAGGGGGAGUCUCCUCUCCUGCUGUCUCCAAUAGGAACCACUCCUGGCUGGCUGGCACACCAGGGACAAGUAACUGCUCAGAGUUGCAGGCCUGUACUUCUCUCACCCCGUGCACACGUGCACACAGCACUACUUGCAAGACUUCAGCUGGCCUCCAGAAGGACCAAGUCGGGAACAGGCCCCCGUGUCCACCUGGGACCAGAAUCACUGGCCGGCCUUGGUGUGUGUCUGCCCCAGCGUAAUUCUAGAAACCUCACAGUUCUGUCACACAGAAGCCAGGCCUGUGGACACAGCAGCGUGGGAGAUGGAGAGAGGAACUUUCCUGAAGCGGGCUGAGGGGAACGGCCUUGCUCAUCCAUCCAAGCUUAAGAUCUGGCUUGCCCACUGAAUAAAUCAGAUGUGAAACGUUUCUAGUUUUUCUGGCUCCCCCACAAAAUAAAGUCAGCAGAUGUGAAA